rnacentral:misc_RNA from 1 species
CUCUCUCUGUGUACAUAUAUAAAAAAUCUAUUCCCUUUCUCUGUAAAGGGAGUCUAAUUUUCACGCCUUUUGCGACCUACGAGCGACGGAGCAGUGAUCCACGGAGAGAGGGAGAUAGAGAAAGAAGUAUAUUUCAUGGGCCUUCAUCUUCUGUUGUUCUUCAAUGGCCAAAUCUCUCUUCUUCUCUUUAUCCUUUCCUAUCAACACUAGCACCAAUCUUCUUCUUCUUCUUAUUCUUCAUCGUUUACCCAUUACCGGACUUCACCUGCUCC